AUUAGACGAAUCAUCUGGAAAGAUGAAUCAAAGAAGGUAAUAAUCCUGUAGUCGAAAAUGUUGUCUCUCUUGAGUGGAUCCUGAGUACGACGGAGCACGUGAAAUUCCGUCGGAAUCUGGGAGGACCAUCUCCUAAGGCUAAAUACUCUCUAGUGACCGAUAGUGAACCAGUACCGUGAGGGAAAGGUGAAAAGCACCCCGGAAGGGGAGUGAAAUAGAACCUGAAACCGUGUGCUUACAAGUAGUCAGAGCCCGUUAAUGGGUGAUGGCGUGCCUUUUGUAGAAUGAACCGGCGAGUUACGAUUUGAUGCAAGGUUAAGCAGUAAAUGUGGAGCCGUAGCGAAAGCGAGUCUGAAUAGGGCGUUUAGUAUUUGGUCGUAGACCCGAAACCAGGUGAUCUACCCUUGGUCAGGUUGAAGUUCAGGUAACACUGAAUGGAGGACCGAACCGACUUACGUUGAAAAGUGAGCGGAUGAACUGAGGGUAGCGGAGAAAUUCCAAUCGAACCUGGAGAUAGCUGGUUCUCUCCGAAAUAGCUUUAGGGCUAGCCUCAAGUGA
rnacentral:rRNA from 1 species